GACGAACGCUGGCGGCGUGCUUAACACAUGCAAGUCGAACGGAAAGGCCCUGCUUUUGUGGGGUGCUCGAGUGGCGAACGGGUGAGUAACACGUGAGUAACCUGCCCUUGACUUUGGGAUAACUUCAGGAAACUGGGGCUAAUACCGGAUAGGAGCUCCUGCUGCAUGGUGGGGGUUGGAAAGUUUCGGCGGUUGGGGAUGGACUCGCGGCUUAUCAGCUUGUUGGUGGGGUAGUGGCUUACCAAGGCUUUGACGGGUAGCCGGCCUGAGAGGGUGACCGGCCACAUUGGGACUGAGAUACGGCCCAGACUCCUACGGGAGGCAGCAGUGGAGAAUAUUGCACAAUGGGCGGAAGCCUGAUGCAGCAACGCCGCGUGCGGGAUGACGGCCUUCGGGUUGUAAACCGCUUUCGCCUGUGACGAAGCGUGAGUGACGGUAACGGGUAAAGAAGCACCGGCUAACUACGUG
rnacentral:rRNA from 1 species